UGGAAAUGGAAGUAUAUGGGGAAUGGGAUUUUUCCAUUCUCAAGAAUGGAAUUCUGGAAGAAGAAGAAGGAGAAGUAAUGGUGGAAAAUCGUCAAAUUCGGAUUCAGUGGAUGCAAAUGGUGGAGCUGGUUAUCGUUUUCCUCUGAAGCAAGCUAUGACGGCUAGCUCUCUUGCACUUAGUGGUGACACCAUUGCUCAGCUUCGUGACCGGUGGCUCAAGAACAAAGAUAAUCUUCCUGAUCCAUCUCAUCCUAAGGAUAUGAUUGGUGCACUCCUAUCUGAGCAUGACUGGCUUCGGUCAGUCCGGAUGGCUUCAUAUGGAUUUUUGUUAUAUGGUCCCGGUACUUAUGCAUGGUACUCAUAUCUUGACAGAUGUAUGCCCAAGCAAAGCGUGGAGAAUGUAAUGAUGAAGGUUUUAUUAAACCAAAUAGUGCUAGGUCCUUCUGUAAUAGCUGUUAUCUUUGCAUGGAAUAAUUUAUGGCUGGGAAAACUUUCAGAACUUCCAAACAAGUAUCAGAAAGAUGCCCUUCCAACUUUAUUGUUCGGAUUUAGGUUCUGGAUCCCUGUCAGCAUUUUGAACUUUUGGGCCAUUCCUCUUCAAGCUCGUGUUGCAUUCAUGUCUAUGGCCUCUAUAUUCUGGAA
rnacentral:misc_RNA from 1 species